GACACAUUAAAACUGCAAAUUCCACAUGAAGAUGAUUUGUAAAAAAUGUUAAUGUAUUUAUUAGAAAUAUAUAUUACAUUUUAUUUCAAAUACACAUGUGCAUACAAAAUGUACAUACAGAAAUAUACAUACUGUACUUCAAUACUCACGCCAGAAAUUAUCAAAUUUAGAAGUUUUGGAUUCAUUUAUGCUACCAAUAAAAGAUUCUAGGGUUCUUACAGAAAAAAUUGAUUCCAAAAUAAAACUUUGCGCUGAAAAAAAUAAACUUUGCAUCAUCGUUUCCAUUGGAGAAACAUUUGCGUCAAUGAAGAAUGCUUAUGUUAUUAUUGAUAUCUAUAAACUGGACAAUAUAAGAGCAAUAUAGAUGUAUGUUUCAAGUGGUUUUUAGCUCUUCAUGCAAAGUUCUCACAACAAUGUUUUCCAAUCUGGCAAUUCAUUCAACUUUUUUUUA